rnacentral:snoRNA from 1 species
CACAUCAGUAGUGGUUAAUACUAUCUCAAGAUAAUAUUAAUUACCAAAUUAUUAUAGGAACCUUAAUAUUCGCUACUGUUUCAUUCUACGAUUCUGCUCCCUGGUGUYCAUUGCAUACGUGCUUUGGGCAACACGCAGAUGAAGUUGAUACUGGAUUGAAAUGGUUACAGAAUAACUUUUUACAACCCAUAUAGCUGAGUCGGAACUGACCGAGCCCAAACAACUUGGCCACAGUUUUGACUUCGUUUCUGGUUUCUUAGAUCAAUCACCGUUACAUUACGAAAAGGUCUACUCUCUCUCUUCUCGCUUCACAAAAAGCUUUUAGAUGGGUAGGUAUUGCAUGUUUUUUCCAGAGGAUCGUGUCAUUACGGUCUGAGAGUUUGGAACUCCGCUGUGCUCUUUUUCGUGGUAAUACAUAU